AACUUUUAACAAUGGAUCACUUGGCUCUCUCAUCGAUGAAGAACGCAGCGAAAUGCGAUAAGUAAUGUGAAUUGCAGAUUUUCAGUGAAUCAUCGAAUCUUUGAACGCAACUUGCGCCCCUUGGUAUUCUGAGGGGCAUGCGUGUUUGAGUGUCAUUAAACUCUCAACUCCGAUUUGAUUUGUUUCUAAUCGGCGCUUAGACUUGAGGUGUUCUAGCGUCUAGUCGGCACAUCUCAAAUGUAUCAGCGUAAUCUACCCUCUGGUUUCCAGGCGUCGGUGUAAUAAUAAGGUUGCAACGUCGUUUCAAUUCAAAGUCCGCUUAUAAUGGUCUUCGAACGCACACUUCUAUCAAAUUUGACCUGCAUUCAUGUAGGACUACACGCUGAACUGAAGCAUAUCAAAAAGCUGAGGCU
rnacentral:misc_RNA from 1 species